rnacentral:rRNA from 1 species
GAUGAACGCUGGCGGCGUGCCUAAUACAUGCCAGUCGAGCGAACAGAUGAGGAGCUUGCUCCUCUGACGUUAGCGGCGGACGGGUGAGUAACACGUGGAUAACCUACCUAUAAGACUGGGAUAACUUCGGGAAACCGGAGCUAAUACCGGAUAAUAUAUUGAACCGCAUGGUUCAAUAGUGAAAGACGGUUUUGCUGUCACUUAUAGAUGGAUCCGCGCCGCAUUAGCUAGUUGGUAAGGUAACGGCUUACCAAGGCAACGAUGCGUAGCCGACCUGAGAGGGUGAUCGGCCACACUAGAACUGAGACACGGUCCAGACUCCUACGGGAGGCAGCAGUAGGGAAUCUUCCGCAAUGGGCGAAAGCCUGACGGAGCAACGCCGCGUGAGUGAUGAAGGUCUUCGGAUCGUAAAACUCUGUUAUUAGGGAAGAACAAAUGUGUAAGUAACUAUGCACGUCUUGACGGUACCUAAUCAGAAAGCCACGGCUAACUACGUG